GUGAAAGUCUGUUCUGUUAAUAAAAUUUAAUGGCUCUUUGUAUGAUUGGAAGAUGUGAGGUGCAUGAUGUGUUUUCCGUUUCAUUGUGCAGCUAGCCAUCGGCAUGCUGGGGAAAUCAUGUCAUUGAUCCGGAUAUUCCUUUCUCGGUCGUUGAUCCAGAUAGUCCCUUCUCGAAUAUGUUUUCCACGUUGUUGCCUUGUUGGGCAUGGAAGAAACAGGGUAUACUUAUCAUUGUAUUGAACCACUGACUGCUCCACAUCUUCCCCUCCAUUGAAUAUCAAAUUAAUUCCAUUUUGUGCAUCUGCUCAUAUGAAGGAAGAAGAUUCACUAGCGAGAUCCACUUAUACAGAAGGGGAAAUUUUAUAUCACGGGCAUCCUAUUUAUAUCAUUGUCUGCCCACCCAGCCUGUGAUCUAUGGCGCAUGAGCCUGCCGGCAGCUGGUGAUCUAGUAAUUGCGGCACGUAAGGUAUGGCAUGAGAGUCCAUGACGAGAACUUUGGAGCUAUCAAACUGAAUUAUUAGCAGAAUCCAGUGGAACCUGCGGACACACGUUACAUGCACAGUCAUGCAUAAGUACUCAUCGAUUAAACAUAACAUGGAGUAAACAAAAGAGAAUAUGCACAAGACAGAAACACUCACCCAAAAAGGUAAGGAAAUAGAAUUUCACUUUUGAGUUCCUGCUUUGUAAGAAACUCGUACAGGUCUUUCUCCACGUCUUGGGGGUGUUUUUCUAACACAUAUUCA